GACGAACGCUGGCGGCGUGCCUAAUACAUGCAAGUCGAGCGGACGGAUGGGAGCUUGCUCCCAGACCGUCAGCGGCGGACGGGUGAGUAACACGUGGGCAACCUGCCUGUAAGACUGGGAUAACUCCGGGAAACCGGGGCUAAUACCGGAUAACUCUUUCCCUCACAUGAGGGAAAGCUGAAAGAUGGCAUCUCGCUAUCACUUACAGAUGGGCCCGCGGCGCAUUAGCUAGUUGGUGAGGUAAUGGCUCACCAAGGCGACGAUGCGUAGCCGACCUGAGAGGGUGAUCGGCCACACUGGGACUGAGACACGGCCCAGACUCCUACGGGAGGCAGCAGUAGGGAAUCUUCCGCAAUGGACGAAAGUCUGACGGAGCAACGCCGCGUGAGUGAUGAAGGUUUUCGGAUCGUAAAACUCUGUUGUCAGGGAAGAACAAGUACCGGAGUAACUGCCGGUACCUUGACGGUACCUGACCAGAAAGCCACGGCUAACUACGUG
rnacentral:rRNA from 1 species